UGGGGAAUAUUGGACAAUGGGCGAAAGCCUGAUCCAGCCAUGCCGCGUGAGUGAUGAAGGCCCUAGGGUUGUAAAGCUCUUUUGUGCGGGAAGAUAAUGACGGUACCGCAAGAAUAAGCCCCGGCUAACUUCGUGCCAGCAGCCGCGGUAAUACGAAGGGGGCUAGCGUUGCUCGGAAUCACUGGGCGUAAAGGGUGCGUAGGCGGGUUUCUAAGUCAGAGGUGAAAGCCUGGAGCUCAACUCCAGAACUGCCUUUGAUACUGGAAGUCUUGAGUUUGGGAGAGGUGAGUGGAACUGCGAGUGUAGAGGUGCAAUUCGUAGAUAUUCGCAAGAACACCAGUGGCGAAGGCGGCUCACUGGCCCGAUACUGACGCUGAGGCACGAAAGCGUGGGGAGCAAACA
rnacentral:rRNA from 1 species